rnacentral:tRNA from 1 species
GGAUUGUGGCUCAGUGGUAGAAUGCUCGCCUAGCAUGCAUGAGGCACUGGGUUUGAUCCUCAGCACCA